UACAGAGGGUGCAACCGUUGCUCGGAAUCACUGGGCGUAAAGGGCGCGUAGGCGGCUUGAUAAGGUUGCGGUGAAAGCCCGGGGCUCAACCCCGGGUCGGCCGUGGCAACUGUCGAGCUGGAGCACUGUAGAGGCAGGUGGAAUUCCGGGUGUAGCGGUGGAAUGCGUAGAUAUCAGGAGGAACACCGGUGGCGAAGGCGGGUCUCUGGGCCGAAACUGACGCUGAGGAGCGAAAGCGUGGGGAGCAAACAGG
rnacentral:rRNA from 1 species